UCGGGAAUCGUCUAACGGUAGGACAACAGAUUCUGACUCUGUUUAUAGUGGUUCAAAUCCAUUUUCCCGAG
rnacentral:tRNA from 1 species